AUGGCUCCGAUUUGGGGUAGGUUGUGGGGUGGGGACCUCGGUGACUUGUCCUCUUGUCCCCUGGCCGCUGCUGCUGACCUGCGCCUCAGGGCGAGCGUGGAGAGAAAGGUGACGAAGGCACCCCGGGUGAAGCAGGCCUGCCUGGCAAACCCGGAGACAGGGGCCCGCGGGGGCUGCCCGGGUACCGCGGCCCCCCCGGGGAGAAGGGCGACCUCGGAGACCCAGGGCCUGAAGGCAGAAACGGCGCCCCAGGAGCACCAGGGAACAAGGGUGACCGCGGAGAGCCGGGACCUCCUGGACCCCCGGGACGAGCAGUGGAUGCGGGGCUCGGAGGAGCAGGGGAGAAGGGCGAGAAGGGGGACCCCGGGGACCCCGGCGAGGACGGUGCGAAGGGUGCCAGGGGUGACCCCGGCCCCCCCGGCCUGCCAGGAGAGAGGGUACGUGUGGGGUGUGUGGGGGGCAAUGGGGCAGCGAGGCGAGCGGUGCUCUGCAGAGCCAGGGGGGUGAAGGUGGGCACAGGGCUGCCCCUGCCCCCCCUGAGCAGCUCUUUUUUACAGGGCAUCGAGGGCCCCCGCGGCCCCCCUGGCACACGGGUGAGUGCCCCCUUCCCCACGGCGGGGUCCGUGCCCUGCUCAGCCCCCGGUUGGGGGUGACGGGGGGCUCAUUCCCUCCUCUUCCCACCCCACAGGGUGACCCCGGGGACCGAGGCUCGCCAGGAGAGAAGGUGAGGGGCUGGGGGCUGCCCCGGGACACCCCCAUCCCUGCUUGUGGGGCCACCACCCUGCCCGGGUUGGGGGAAAGCAUCCUUCUGAGUCUUUUUUUUUUUUUUUUUCUUUUUUUUUCUUUAUAGGGGGAGCGUGGCUCGCCGGGGCUGGACGGCCGCAAUGGGUUGGAAGGGAAACCUGGACCCCCAGGGCCCCCCGGGCUGAGGGUGAGCGUGGGGCUGGGCGGGGGGCACCGGGAACGGGGGCUGGAGGAGGUGGUGGGGCAGAGGAGCCAUCCCACUGAUUCGGGAUGGGGAUGCUCGUGGGAAAAAAACCACAUCCCUUACAUCCUCCUCAUCCACAGGGGGACCCGGGGAAGCAGGGAGACCCCGGCCGGGACGUAAGUACCUCCUGGGGCUGUGCUCCUGCCCCGUGGACCAUCCCCAGCCCUGCUCCCUCCUCCCAAAUCGGGCCGCAGAGGCCUCCCCCCGUCUCCUCUCCCCGCAGGGGCUGCCGGGGCUGCGUGGGGAGCAGGGCCCGCCUGGCGCCGUGGGACCCUUGGGGCCGCCCGGCCUCCCCGUGAGUACCCAACACCAAACCCCAUACCCUGCCCCGUGCCCUCCGGGUGCUCCCAGCCCUCUCCAUCCCCUGAAUGCCUGUUUUGGGGGGGCUCUCACCGCCUCUGCUUCCCCCCAGGGCAAACCCGGUGACGAUGGCAAGCCCGGCCUCAACGGCAAGAACGUGAGUAGGGCAGCAGGGCUUGGCUUCGGGGCACCCCGAGGGCUGGAAACCCCAAAGGAGAGGGAG
rnacentral:lncRNA from 1 species